GACGUAGGGCGCAAGCGUUGUCCGGAAUCAUUGGGCGUAAAGCGCGUGUAGGCGGUUCGGUAAGUCCGCUGUGAAAGUCGGGGGCUCAACCCUCGGAUGCCGGUGGAUACUGUCGGACUAGAGUACGGAAGAGGCGAGUGGAAUUCCUGGUGUAGCGGUGAAAUGCGCAGAUAUCAGGAGGAACACCGAUUGCGAAGGCAGCUCGCUGGGACGUUACUGACGCUGAGACGCGAAAGCGUGGGGAGCAAACAGG
rnacentral:rRNA from 1 species